rnacentral:snRNA from 1 species
GUGCUCACUUUGGCAGCACAUAUACUAAAAUUAGAAUAAUACAGAGAAGAUUAGCAUGGAUGACAGGUAGAUUUGUGAAGCAUUCCAUAUUUUU